rnacentral:rRNA from 1 species
CCUACGGGGGGCUGCAGUGGGGAAUAUUGGACAAUGGGGGCAACCCUGAUCCAGCCAUGCCGCGUGUGUGAAGAAGGCCCUCGGGUUGUAAAGCACUUUCAGUGAGGAAGAACGCCUGGUGGUUAAUACCCAUCAGGAAAGACAUCACUCACAGAAGAAGCACCGGCUAACUCCGUGCCAGCAGCCGCGGUAAUACGGAGGGUGCGAGCGUUAAUCGGAAUUACUGGGCGUAAAGCGCGCGUAGGUGGCUUGAUAAGCCGGUUGUGAAAGCCCCGGGCUCAACCUGGGAACGGCAUCCGGAACUGUCAAGCUAGAGUGCAGGAGAGGAAGGUAGAAUUCCCGGUGUAGCGGUGAAAUGCGUAGAGAUCGGGAGGAAUACCAGUGGCGAAGGCGGCCUUCUGGACUGACACUGACACUGAGGUGCGAAAGCGUGGGUAGCAAGCAGGAUUAGAUACCCUUGUAGUC